UUUACAAAAUGAUUGAUUCUAUUCUAUUCUAUUUUCCUAGAAAUAUUGGAUUAUUGGAGAUGCUAAAUUUACAAACAAAACAUUUAAUAGAAUCACUAAGCAAUAUCUUAAUUGAAGUUUUUAGGAGUGUAUUACUGUCCAUGGAUUUGCGAUUUUGAAGAGAUCUCUUCCAUAUAACAAUUUAGAUGGGAUAAUUUUUUGUGACUAUACAUGACUUUUUGACUUGGACUUCUGACUGCAACACAGACUUGAUUUUUAUUUUGUUUCAUUUAUUUAACUUAAUCAUACUCUGUGAAAGUCUCAUUUAACAAACAGAAACAAACAGAUGUUUCUUUCUAAGAGUUAUAGAAGGUGCUACUGAAUUCAGUGUACAUACAGUAUAUAGUUUUGUUCUUCUUUUGGGGAUUUUUUUGAUUGUUUUAUAUGCUUUUGUUUGUUUUAACCUCAGAUUAUCUGCAGUAAAAUGAGUUUUCUAAUGAGAUGCUUUAUACAGAUGUUUGAAGGACCACGGUAUACAAUUAUUUCUGUUCUUGUCAUUUUCAAUCCAUAUCAUCUUUGUGAAAUCAGGUUUUGAUGAAGGGUGAACCUGGGUUAAUCCAGGUACACAUGCUACAGUAACAUCUCUUUUCUUUUUAGCACAAUUGACUCAUGGGUUAAAUCCAUGUAUCAAAAGAGAGGAGGUCGAAAUAUUUGUUUGUGAUUUUUACAUUUUUUGUGUUUUGAAAGUGGUUCUGAUUUCUCAUCCAAUAUUAAGAGUUGAAAAAGACUGAAUAUCAUUGAUGUUAACCUAGACAAUUUCUUCUGAGAAUGAUAGCGUUGGUUUCUAGAUGACAAUCAAAACUGGAUUAAAAAUACAUUCAAAUCAAAUUAAAUCUUAAAAUUGGGGCCAAUGACACAAAUGCAAAUAUACGAAGCCACAUUAUCAAUCAGUCAAAAACAUAAAAUAAAAAUAAGUCUCAAGGUACUGUUUACCAGGAACUAUUUAACACCUGUAACCUCCAAAGCAAAGGUUUGAAAAGGUGAAUGAUUAGAUCCUUCAAAAUGAUUGGUUUUGAAGUAAACAGAAGUCUAUUGUUUAUUGAUGUUCAUUUUAUUCAAAUUCCUUAAAAAUGCAUUUUUAUAAUGUUUGACUACAGUAACAACAUGGUUACUGGAGACUGGAGACUAUUCCACAAUAGCUUUUAGAACAGUUUUUGCUUUUACUUUGAACAUGUUUUAUAUUUUAUGAAACGUUUCCUGUUUCACACUGUAAGAAACUGUUCUUCUAUUUCUAUUUUUCUAACACUAACACUUACUAACACUAACAUCUAACUAUCAUCAGCUGCUACUGCUUUGUGUCAUUGAUGAUGUCAUUUAUGUCCAGGGUGUAACAGGGUGCUUUUAGUUUUCUUGUUACAGUUUUAUACUUUUAAGCUUCCCUUGACGAUUCUCCCCCUGAAAGCAGGAGAUGACCUGACCUACUGUUUUGGACCACAGAUGACUAGAAAGUUGAUGAAAGCGUCAUCAGCGAUGCUUCUGCUAGGGCGGAAUUGCUGACUGUGGAAGUCAGUGGAACAUCAACUUCAACUGCUUAAAUGUCUACAGAGUGGGAAACAAAUCAACAUAAAAACAACGAAGGACAACAGAGAUGGAAUUAACAGAAGAGCAGCAUCGGAAACUCCUUAAACAGAACGGGUUUAAGGAAUCUUCUUGUGAGUAGGGAAACCAUGUUUCCCUCUAUAAAUGUAGACGAGCAACAACAGAACAUCAAUGACUUAAAAGGGAGACACACAGUAAAUGGACAAUAACUUCAAAUGUUGACAAUAAUUUCCCUUGUUUGUAUGUUUGACACUUAGUGUCAAAAAGGGAGGAAUGUGGGAUAUUUUGUGUUUGUCAUGAGAGGCUGUGCCUCUGGUUGAGGGUUGUUCCUGGGGGGUCAUCAAGCAUUUGGUUAUCAAAUGGUGGAGUUUUCACUGUAGUGACCACGGGAACAUGCACUCAUGUAUAUCAAAGACCAGUCAACAGCUCAUGUGGGGGUUUGUAACAGGGUAUAAAUACAGGUCUUGUGUCCUCAGUCCUUCAGUGGAUAGAUUGUACAUAGUGAGAUGUGCCUUAUGUCUUAGAUGUAAUUGUGAUCCACUCCGUGUCGACAUGAGAGUAAACUUUGAGAUGGUUCAUCACACUGAUGAUCUCUGGUUGAUUUCUUUAUAAGAAGAUUUCCACAACACACAUCACACUAGUGAUGGGAAGUCCGGCUCUUUUUACAGAUUCGGCUCUUUUGGCUUGGCUCUCUUUAAUGAGCCGCCACUUGUGGCUCCCAGUCUGCUCUUAAAUUAUUAUCACUUUGCACCUUAAAUUUUAGCUGAAUUUAGCAAUUAUAAAUAGUUUGUCUGUUUCAUAAGCCUUUUUAUUUUUUUAUUUUUUUUUUUAUUAUUUAUUUUAAUGCAGUUUUUAAAAUGCAAUAAAAAAAAUACACAGUCACUUCUGUUUAACAUUUUAAUCAAACCUUUGGGUAUUAACAUUAAAACACUUUAAAUAAUAAUGUUUAGUGGAGGUUGACAGAUAUUUUUAUUUUAAUAAUAUUUUAUCUAAUAACAGUUAAGUCUGCACUCAGGUUUGCCGUCUCCAGUUUCAUUGAAAUGCACCCUGAUGCUGCUUCUUAUUCGGUUGUCGGUCGGUUGUUGGAAAAAAUGGUGCGCCCAUAAAAGCAGUCCCCCGUUUGUAUGGAUUUUCAGAAGAAUCGGACAAUGGCGGCGGAAGAUUUGCAGUCGUCUCUUCUCGUUUGCUACGAAGCAUCGGCUCUUUGGUGAACGACGCAUCACUGCAGGUACAUGACACCCAAGGACACACCCUACCUGCUGGCAGUGGAACUGUUACACAACAACCCCGCAACAGUGAGGAGGAGCCGAGGGCGCGUUCACAGCGACUCAUCUACAGGUGGGAGCAGAAACAUCCGCUUUGUUCAUUUAGAAGUUGAACAGCUCCAGCUUCUUCUGCAGCUGCACAACAGACAGGGCUGAAAAACAGAAGAAGAGUCAUUUAUGGAUGGAGAAAAAGCUGAGUAGAUAAGAAAAACAACGGAAGCAGCAGAGGAAGAUGAGGAAAAGGAAGAGAAACCAUCAUCCUCUGCUUUCAUUCCCAAGUGGCCUGGCAUGAGGACCCACCAUCGCCCCUUCAUUUCUGUGGAAAAUCACCACAGACUGAGCAGAUGCAAUGAGCUGACACGCAGCUCUGGAUCCCACACGGUCUCAAGACGGUUUGGACACAUCUUUAAAAUAACAAGAAGAACACGGCACACCAGGAACUAAACUAAAGAUGUUCAUAAUACAGCUGGAUUCUAGGUAACUCCAGAGAAAGAAACUGUGGGAGCCUCAACGAGGACACACAGGAUUUAAAAAAACUGUCUAAAGCCUGAUUUCUUGUGUUCUACAUCAGCCUUCAGAAAACAACUUGAGCAGAGUAAAGUCCAUGCCCUGAACGGGUGAAAAGUUGACCCAUUCAUUGGAAAAGCUCACCAACGGUUAAAUGAACCCGGUCAAAGUACCGGUUUUAUGAGAAAUGGCCUCUAAUCCAAGACAAAGGGGGAGCGGGGAUCUUCAACCUCUGUUUUUUGAUUUGAGAAUUCAUGUACAGUCAUUUCUGAAACAGUCUAAUGACAAAGAAACAACCAACUGUCACAAGGUUUGUGCUGUUCAUUUCUGCUCCUAUUAAUUCAUUUAAUAAAAGCUUCAGGAGACACGGCUCAGCUGUAAACUGGAAGAACGUUGACUUCAGGUGAACCACAGGCGACAUGUGCUGUUUGUCAUUUAACUAUGUUCCAUACUUUUAAUCCAACAACAGUAAUAGUAAUAAUAACAGGUUGUAAAAGGCGUCUGACGGACUUUUUUUGAUUGAACACUGUUUAUAUAGAGUAGAUCAGCUUAAUAACAGCUUUACUCCAUGUGUUAGAACGUGGGGAGCGAGGCCUGUACAGGUGACAUCCAAACGACUGGUGCCUUUUUCAGUGAGUGAACACUGAGACUCCCCCUGAAUAAAAAGCCUUAAAGUGUCUCAGCAAGUGUUGGCUGGAUAAAAGAGAAUUCAGGUCCAACAGCUGGACUGAAACCCAGAGGUGGCUGAAAAAGACUCUCUGCUCUCUAAGACAGGACGCGUCGCCACGGCGACCUUGUCUGUGACCUGUAAUUCCAUCAGCGCCGCCGUUUGUUUGUAGCAGCACCUGGAGAAAAACACAUUCUGCAGCGAGAUGAAAUGCUGAAACAUUUAGAACGUAACAGGACGUAGCUGAAGAACUGACUGUACAGAUACACCUGAAGAGACGCAUGUUCUCAUUACUGUCCUGUAAACAAGAUUCAAAUAACAAUACUGUCAGUGCUCUUCAGCAUUCAGUUAUUAAUGACCUGAAUAUCUGGUUAUUAAAACCAGAAGAACAGACGUCUAUAGAGAAGAAGCUGAAGAGAAACGGAAGCAGCGGCGGAAGAGGAGGAAACGAUUAUCCUUUACUUUUAUUCCCCACCAUCACCAUCACAUUUGAGCCACAAACAAUCAUGGCUUUUACAGUCUUUCACGCAUGGGACUCAGUCAGUGACUUCACAUGUGACCGGCAGCGGUCAGAACACGUUUAACGCGUGCGAUCGGAGAGGGUUUGUUCUAUGCGGUCAGUUACUAUUACAGGAAACACAGUAAUCACUACAUCUGAGGAGUGUGGACGGUGCGUCUUUAUUGAAAAAAGUCCCACUGAAAACGUCCUCGCGUCCUCUUAUUGAGAAACACUGCUAUAGACUGAGCAGAAGCAGUGGACAGGAAACGCAGCUCUGGAUUCCACACGGUCCCAAGACAGGCUAGACAAGAAACACAUGGUUUAAGUAACAAGAAGAACACGGAAAACCAGUAACUAAACUCAUAAAUACGACUGGACUCGUAUUGGACUGGACUCAAAGCAGCAGAACUAAGAGGACCUGAAUUGUGUCCAAAUAAAUUUUUAAAUCUUCUGUUCUACACGUUUAACAUCUGCCUUCAGAAAACCUGAGCACAAUAACGUUCAUGUCCUGAACAGGUGAAAACUGACCCAUCCGUUGGAGGAGCUCACAGACCAACUGCUAAAUGAACUCUAAAAGAGCUAGUUUCUGAUAAGUAAUGGCCUCUGAACUAAGUGAAAGAAGGAGCAGCAAGGAACCUCCACUAAUCUUCCUUUCUGAGGAAGAUUCUGAGGAAGAUUCUAAGCAAGUAAUCUUCCUUUCUGAGGAAGAUUUUGAGGUAGAUUUUACGCACGUUUAUGCUCUCAGACGUGAGAGCUCUGAAACGUAUUACAGUCUUAGCUCUGACAGUCCAAUAGCCAACCUUGAAUGUGUAGUUGGGGAAACAGAAGAUUACAUUAAGAUAAGGAAAGUGUACACAAAAAAAGAGAGAUUACUAUUCGCUGCUGCAGGGUUGGGACUAGUCCUUAAACUGGCCUCUGGACCAACUGGAGGUUACCCUUUUACAGCCGGAGUCACUAUAAAAGUUAUUAGAGCUCUAGGUGUUUUUAUCACAAAUACUGUAAAGUCAAUAUAUGAUUAUUUGUGAAGUUAAAAUGAAUUUCUGGUGAAACCACUGGUUGAUGAGCGACGGCCUGGUGUCAAAUAUCAUUAAUAUAAAAGAUAUUUGUACAUUUUUUUGUUUUGUUUUUUUGAAUUUUUUGUUUGCUAUGAACAAAAUGCUAUGAGCAAAAAUGUGCAUUUGUUUAAACCUGUAUUGACACUAACGAUAAAUGUUGGUUAGGGACUGAGCAACAACAGUUAAGUGUAAACAUACCAGUGACCUUGUGUUUGUGUUUUAUGGGUCAGACCUCAGGAUGAUUUGCAUCUUUCUAAUCCUACAUCUCAACUCAGCCUCAUUAUCUCUUGUCUGUGGAAACACAGAAGAUGAUAAUGAUGGUAAAGUGUUUGUAUUAAGAAUCCUCAGACUUCAGGUACAAGUCAGAGUCCUGUCAUCUCCACAGGUUCUCUGAUUAUGAGAACUUGUGCUGAAACCAAGCAACUCUGUUAAGUUAACAAUCGGUGCAAAAUGAAUAAGCGGGGAUGAACCUCCCAACCUUGAUAUUAGCAGCAUCACACUCUAACCAGAAGAAGUCGUCAGCUGUGAACAAGAGGCUCAGAGCAGGAUGUACUUCCUCAGGUCCUUCAGGUCUGCAGCUCCAUGCUGGGAAUGAGCAGAGGUGGACAAACAGUCAGUUGAUGUUUGAUGAUUAAGAUGAUUAUUAAUAAUACAACAGUCUGACUAUGUUUGAAUGAUUAGUAAUUUUUAAUACACGUAAUAGUUUGUGAACUUGUAAUCAGGGUGAAAUAAAGUUUAGUGUUUGAGUGCAGGAUUCAGGUGCAGGUCUUGCAAAUAUGAGUGCUCAAGCUACAAGUUUGAAAUGUUGUGGGCAAAUUGAAGUUUAAUGAACCAGUGUCAUUGGAAAGUACGAGAACGGCCAAAAGAGGACAGAAAACGCUGUUGAUCAAAGUGAGACAAGGAAUAGAUCACGUGUACAUGAUGUGUUGUCAUUGGUGAUGUGGAUCACGCUGUAAAGGGACCAGUCAGAUGAUGGGACGUGUAAAAGGUGAUAGUAAAAACGUUAAACUAAGCACGAUGGGCAGAAAAUGUGGAUAAAACCCCAGGUUUUGUCUGGUGGGAAAAAGAGGAAAGAAACAGACACCACGGCAGAAACAGCUGCCACAGGCAGCCGUUCAUCCAGGCACGAUGAGCAUCAUGGAGAAAAUCAAGUUCAGAGCCGAGACCAUUCUGGAAGGAGACUCUCAACCAACCGUCGAC